CAGUGGGCUGCGGCCACUGACUCCCCUGAGCUGAGAUACCUCUCAGGGUGACACCUCAAGGCCAGGGCAGGAGAAGACCCUUCUCAAGCUUCAACUACUGCCCAUUGAGGAAUGCUGAUGCAUUGAAUGGUCAUCAUACUCCUCCUUAAAAACGGGUCUGAAGAAAGGAAUUCCUUUAGGGCAGGGCGGCAGUUUUAUAGUAGAAAUGAAGGUACCCAUGAACCAGAGAAAAGCAGAGACACAGCCAAACCCACCAUGGACUGAAGAUCUGGUGUCUGACCCCAGAGCUGCCCCUGUUUUGCGCCGGAGGAUGGACCAGAGAGCUCCAGAGGUCCCUUCCAGCCCAAGUUACCCUGAGACACUGACUUGGUCUUCAUGGGGGAUAUUCAUAUGGUCCAUAAAUUUUCCUUCAGCCUGAGCAAGAAUGCAUGGAAACUUCAGUGCAGUGUUUUAUCCAUCUCUGCCUCCUGAUGAAAUUUUGUGCUGUAAAAAUCUCGGCCCUGAUUUACUUGGAGUGGUCCCUGCUUCACAGCCUGGUUGAAGGUAUGAUAUUUUUACCAGCUUCUCCAAGAUGUGGUUGGAU